UACGUAGGUGGCAAGCGUUGUCCGGAUUUACUGGGCGUAAAGAGCGCGCAGGCGGUCUUUUAAGUCGAAUGUGAAAGCCCCCGGCUCAACUGGGGAGGGUCAUUCGAUACUGAUCGACUUGAAGGCAGGAGAGGGUAGUGGAAUUCCCGGUGUAGUGGUGAAAUGCGUAGAUAUCGGGAGGAACACCCAGGGGGAAACCAGUCGACUGGGCAUCACCUGACGCUGAGGUGCGAGAGCGUGGGGAGCGAACAGG
rnacentral:rRNA from 1 species